AGUUUGAUCCUGGCUCAGAAUGAACGUUGGCGGCGUGCCUAACACAUGCAAGUCGAGCGUGAAAGUCCUUCGGGAUGAGUAAAGCGGCAGACGGGUGAGUAACGCGUGAGAAUUUUCCUUUCAGUGAAGAAUACCUUUGGGAAACUAAAGUUAAUACUGCAUACGUCUCGAAAGAGAGAAAGAUGGCCUAAUUGCUGUCGCUGGAAGAUAAGCUUGCGUUCUAUUAGCUAGUUGGUGAGGUAAUGGCUCACCAAGGCGAUGAUGGAUAGCCGGCCUGAGAGGGCGAACGGCCACAUUGGAACUUAGACACGGUCCAAACUCCUACGGGAGGCAGCAGUGAGGAAUAUUGCACAAUGGGCGAAAGCUGAUGCAGCGACGCCGCGUGGAGGAUGACGGUCUUCGGACUGUAAACUCCUGUUAAGUGUGAAAAAAGACUCGUUUUUAAUAGAAACGAGGGAUGAUGGUAGCACUAGAGAAAGCACCSGGCUAACUUCGUGCCAGCAGCCGCGGUAAUACGAGGGGUGCAAACGUUAUUCGGAAUCACUGGGCGUAAAGGGUGCGUAGACGGCAACACAAGUCAAUCAUUAAAUUUCCUGGCUUAACUAGGAACCUGUGAUUGAAACUGUGUCGCUUGAGGAUGGAAGAGAGAAGUGGAAUUCUCGGAGUAGCGGUAAAAUGCGUAGAUCUCGAGAGGAACACCGAUGGCGAAGGCAGCUUCUUGGUCCAUUUCUGACGUUGAGGCACGAAAGCGUGGGGAGCAAACAGGAUUAGAUACCCUGGUAGUCCACGCUGUAAACGAUGAUCAUUAGAUGUUAGGUCCGCUUUAGGGCUUAGUAUCGCAGCUAACGCGUUAAAUGAUCCGCCUGGGAAGUACGGUCGCAAGAUUAAAACUUAAAGGAAUUGACGGGGGUCCGCACAAGCGGUGGAACAUGUGGUUUAAUUCGACACUACGCGAGGAACCUUACCUAGGCUUGACAUGCAUUUGACAGGUAUGGAAACAUACUCUUCUAGGCUUCGGUUUAGACAUUUGCACAGGUGCUGCAUGGCUGUCGUCAGCUCGUGUCGUGAGAUGUUUGGUUAAGUCCUCUAACGAGCGCAACUCCUAUCACUAGUUGCAACCCUUUAUUGGGGCACUCUAGUGAAACUGCCUGGGAAACCAGGAGGAAGGUGGGAAUGACGUCAAGUCAUCAUGGUCCUUACGUCUAGGGCUACACACGUGUUACAAUGGCUAGUACAAAGAGUUGCAAGCUUGUAAAAGUAAGCUAAUCUCAUAAAACUAGUCUAAGUUCGGAUUGAGGUCUGCAAUUCGACCUCAUGAAGUUGAAAUCGCUAGUAAUCGCGCAUCAGAACGGCGCGGUGAAUUCGUUCUCGGACCUUGUACUCACCGCCCGUCAAACCAUGAGAGUCUUUUGUGCCCGAAGUUGUUUUAGCUAACCGUAAGGAGGCGAACAGUGACGGUAUGGGAGAUGAUUGGGGUUAAGUCGUAACAAGGUAGCCG
rnacentral:rRNA from 1 species